GUCUCUGUAGCAAAUUGGAUAGCGCGUUGGACUUCUAAUCCAACGAUCGUGGGUUUGAAUUACACCUGGGAUG